rnacentral:rRNA from 1 species
UACAGAGGUCUCGAGCGUUGUUCGGAUUCAUUGGGCGUAAAGGGUGCGUAGGUGGCGCCGUAAGUCGGGUGUGAAAUUUCGGAGCUUAACUCCGAAACUGCAUUCGAUACUGCGGUGCUUGAGGACUGGAGAGGAGACUGGAAUUUACGGUGUAGCGGUGAAAUGCGUAGAUAUCGUAAGGAAGACCAGUGGCGAAGGCGGGUCUCUGGACGGUUCCUGACGCUGAGGCACGAAGGUCAGGGGAGCAAACGGG